UCAGCGACACUCUCGUGUUCUUGGCCACUGAAACAUCCCUGCCGUCUCAUUAUGAAGCCGAGACUUUCAACCCCU